CGAAAUCGGUAGACGCUACGGACUUAAAAUCCGUCGACUUUUAAAAUCGUGAGGGUUCAAGUCCCUCUAUCCCC
rnacentral:tRNA from 1 species